UACGUAGGGUCCGAGCGUUGUCCGGAAUUAUUGGGCGUAAAGGGCUCGUAGGCGGUUGGUCACGUCGGGAGUGAAAACUCAGGGCUCAACCCUGAGCGUGCUUCCGAUGACGGGCCGACUAGAGGUAUGCAGGGGAGAACGGAAUUCCUGGUGUAGCGGUGAAAUGCGCAGAUAUCAGGAGGAACACCGGUGGCGAAGGCGGAUCUCUGGGCCUUACCUGACGCUGAGGCGCGAAAGCUAGGGGAGCGAACGGG
rnacentral:rRNA from 1 species